CCGAGAGUCCUCUAGGAUACGAUACUUGAUAUUACCAUUUUAUAUUACUUGUGCGACUCGGUAAACUUGCCAAUUUUUCCCAACAAAACCCGAAGCCCCAGCGACAGGAGCGAAAAUCAGCGAAGUCCAUAUCGACACUGGUCGCCCAGGCGACGGACGCCCGAAGCCUAUGCGUCAAAAACUGGCGCCUAAGCGUCACAAAACCCUCAAUUCACACUUGGGCAAGCUCCCUACGACGCUUGAGCAUGAUUUCAUGUGGAUCGGGCCUUGUUUCUGCUCUAUUU
rnacentral:lncRNA from 1 species